AUGUCUGCCCUGGGCAUGGCAAGGACCCGUCAGCAUAACUUCGCAAGUCCUCACUCGCCUGGGUCAACUUACCUGCCUGCGCGGACAGCUGGAUGCUCCUACAGGGUUGGAAAGUUGGAUGUUCCUACCAGAGUCCCGACUUCUCAGCCUGGGAGCUGUGUGCUGUGGGAUGACAACGCCACAAAGCAGCAAUUUUAAUCUCUUUUGUCCACCUCUGUAACCCCACACAUGUCUAUUAGAGCUUGGCCCUCGAGAGUCUCAAUAAAAUAUUUGUUGAAUAAAUGAAUGGAUGAUAUAAAGUGACUGGCGCUCAGUAAGUACCCCAUCAUGGGGUAGCUAUUGCUAAUUUAUUAUUGUGAUUAAAAACUCUGUCUUGGGAAUCCAACUGAAAGCAGUAUACUUAGGGAGGGAGAAAUUUAGCAUCAUGUGGAAUGCUGGCAUUCUGGCUGGGAAAUCCUGUCGACUCCAUUUACUAGUUGUGUGAUCUGGAAGAAGUGACUUCACUUUUCUAAGGCUGUUUCCUCACCUGUAAAAUGGAGAUAAUCACAGUACCUCCCAGGUAGAAUGCAAAGGUAGGAUAAGAUGGUAACAGUAAAGCAUUUAGUAGAGUUCCUGCCACAUAAUGAAUGCUCAAUAAACAAUGAUCAGCAUUCCUCAUUAUAGUAGUACUCCUCACACUAGAGGUGACAUCCAAGUCAAUUAAACCAUUGCUAAGCACUCACAUAUGUCUGGGUCCAGCAGGCUCAAUAAAUGUUUAUUGACCUCCCUCCGUGAGCUCCUCAAGGAAAGAGAUUGUGCUUACAUUGUCCUGAUUUUGGCCUUCAGUAGUUAGACUGAGACAUGCUCAAAAAAUCACAUUCUGGACUUAAAUAUGAGUAAAAACCUAGAACAGCUACUAGAAUCAUAAUGUCCGUGGCCUACUAGGCGCCAGGCACGGUGUUGGAUGCUGGAGAUAUGGCAACAAGCUUAAAACAAACAUGGCGGCUACUCCUUUCAGGCUGGUGAAACUUAGCAGAGUUGACUGACUUUGUGUCAAUCGUUGCACAGACAGAUGGAACAUUGCAACUGAGAAGUGUAUCACAACAGAGAGGGGCACAGGGCUCUCGGGUAUAUAAUGUGGGCCUGGAGAAGAUGGGGUUGACCUGGGCUGGGCUUGAGGAGGGAAGAGCUGAGCACUGCGGAAAGAAGAGGUCUUAGCUAAGCUGAGGGUAGGGGAAGUGUUCUCAGCAGAAAAAAUAGCAGAUGCGAAGGUCUCGUGAUGGGGGAGCAUAUGAGCUAAAGGAACUGAAAGAAGGCCUAGUGACCCCAGUACAGUGAGCUGAGGACAGGGGCCCCGGGGAGAAAUCAACUGGGAAAGUAAGUCAGCACUUUGGAAAUUAAGUGGGCCACGUAUAUGGUAAAGCAGAAAAAGUGUGCAACCUAGGAUCCAACAGUUCCAGUUCUAGGAACAUUCUAGAAAAACAGCCACAAGGGCCCCGGGAGGCAUGAGCGAGGAUGUCAGCCCGCGCUGCAUUAUAUGCAGUCUCAAAAAAAUGGGAAACAACCCAACUGUUCGUCAACAGGAGAGUGGUAAAAAUUGCAGAAUAUGUUUUCCUCAGAUUCCUCAGGAAAGGCUGAAUGAAAAGUUAACGUAGUACUGGGAUGCUUGGUUAAGUGUCUGCCUUCGGCUCAGGUCAUGAUCCCAGGGUCCUGGGAUCGAGCCCCACAUCGGGCUCCCGGCUGGGCAGGAAGCCUGCUUCUCCCUCUCCCUCUGCUGCUAUGUGGGCUCUCUCUUGGCUCUCUCAAAUAAGUAAAAAUAAAACUUAAAAAAAAAAAAUUAAAAAUAGGGCAACCUGUUGGGACCCUUUUCACUCUUGACAGCCUUUUCUGUAUCUUCACUUAAUAAACUUCUGUUGAUUUACUCACUCUGUGUUGUCUGAGAGAUUCAUUCUUCGACUCCAUGAGACAAGAACCUAGGUGUCCCGCUUCAUCUCGGUGCAGAAACCUGGGAUCACUUCCAGCGAAGGGUAAGUAAAAGUGGGCUCUUUUCUUUCCUGGGAGACAUCUCUCCCUUAGAUGACCUUUUCUCCGAAACAGCAAAACUGGGCACCUGCUGGCCAAUUAAAGGUGAAUAGUGUGGCCACCAGGCUUAAGUCUCAGGUGACAGGCUUCUGGCCAAAGUUUGGUUAAUCCCCCUUCCUCAAAAGAAGGGAAUGUUGGCCUAACCCUACCCAGUUCUGUUUUCUGUGCAUUGGCUUUUCUUCAAUGGCUUGCUCCCACCUCAGGGACUUUGCCUGGAGUAGGGCCCUUCCAGUCUCUAGUGGUCAGUAUUUAAAUUCCCUGGUUAGCUUUCUAUAAAAGACCAACCCUAAAGGCCCUCACUGGCAACCCUGUUGGGACCCCUCUCACCUUUGAGAGCUUCAUCUGUAUCUUCACUUAAUAAACUUCUAUUGUUUUACUCACACACACAAAAAUAAUAAUAAUAAAAAUUUACAAAUAAAAAAUAAAGAAAUAUGGAACUUCACAAGCAGUCAUCUUUUUUUUUUUUUUUUUUUUUAANNNNNNNNNNNNNNNNNNNNNNNNNNNNNNNNNNNNNNNNNNNNNNNNNNNNNNNNNNNNNNNNNNNNN
rnacentral:lncRNA from 1 species